UCCCUCCACAUGCGUCGUUCGAGCUCUUCUACGUCGAUAUCUUCAUCACUUUCUUCAUCACCAGCCUCAGCAAAGUUUUCGGGAGGAGGAUCUACCAGGUCUCCCUCUCCCACUAUGCAUUCACCCAAUGAAGGCUGAUGGAGGAGGCUACCAUAACUAAGAUUCUUCUCAUCAUUCGAGGCGAAAAGUUGCGCGUAAUUAGGACCUCCAGGAUACACCAUGCCCUCCAUUAAUAGCCCCCCCAUCAUCGCUAUCAGCCGAGGCGAUCGGAUCAGGUCUAUGUACUCGGAGUCGAAUGGCAGAUGCAAUAUUCACUGCAAGAGCAUGAGAAAUAAAGUUCAGGCAGCGGUAAUCCUCAACCAUAUCACGCUGUCGGGUGAUAUUAUUAUCUAGAAAACAUGUGACAUUAAGCAAUUUGAUGAAAACACAUGAUGA
rnacentral:lncRNA from 1 species